GCGCCCAUAGCUCAGCUGGUAGAGCAGCUCCCUUUUAAGGAGACGGUCGAAGGUUCGAAUCCUUCUGGGCGCACAA
rnacentral:tRNA from 4 species